rnacentral:rRNA from 1 species
AGGGACCCGAGCGCCCCAAUCUACAUGCCCGUCACGGACAGACUCUAUGGCCUGGAUUUCGACACCUUCGAGAUGCUCCAUCCACUUCCGCCGCUCGUCGACCCCAACUGCGGCAUCGAUGUGCCCAAGUGGCGGCCGUGGCGCCGCCUCCCGCCGCCACCUUUCAAGCGCGAGCACGUUACCUCCCACGUUGUGCACCAUGACGGACAGACCAUCUUCAUCAGCGUCGACGACAAGACCGGCGCCACGUUCAGCUUCGAUACCACGGCGAGCUCCCCACGUUGGAUGCGCAGCGGCAGCUGGAAGCUGCCCUUCAAGGGCCCUGCACACUAUGACGUCAACUUGGACGCCUGGGUUGGCCUCGCCCGAGACCCGGACAUGCUCGGCCACCUCUGCUCUCGUGACGUGCCGUCUACUGAUGAUGACAACGGCUGUACACAGCCCCCGGCCUGGAAGCUCAGCAAGGAGAAGCUCUUCUGUGAGGACCUAGACGAGAAGCACAUCGGCGCGGCCCUUGUUUGCCUGGGCACGGGCUGUAGAAGCAAGUUCUGUCUCGUGCAGUGUCUCUCCAUGGACGACCGUCAGGAGGGCGUGUACAAGGAGUACCUGCCCGAGCUCGAGCGCUACCUGCUUCGACUGACCACGUUCUCGCUGGUGUAUGACAAGAGUGGUGACCUGCGCACCGCUGCGCUCCGCCGCGUUCGAUCCUUUGAACUGCCCAAGCCAGUGAGGGAAUACUCUGCCUUCUUGGUGGAUCCUGUGGCAUUCUGGAUGUAA